rnacentral:precursor_RNA from 1 species
CCGCUCUCCGCCGUUGCCAUGGUUACCCGGCGGCCGAGGUGGGA